rnacentral:rRNA from 1 species
CAGUAGCCGCGGGAAAACAGAGGGUGCAAGCGUUAAUCGGAAUUACUGGGCGUAAAGCGCGCGUAGGUGGUUUGUUAAGUUGGAUGUGAAAGCCCCGGGCUCAACCUGGGAACUGCAUCCAAAACUGGCAAGCUAGAGUACGGUAGAGGGUGGUGGAAUUUCCUGUGUAGCGGUGAAAUGCGUAGAUAUAGGAAGGAACACCAGUGGCGAAGGCGACCACCUGGACUGAUACUGACACUGAGGUGCGAAAGCGUGGGGAGCAAACAGGAUUAGAGACCCCAGUAGUCCCUGUCUCUUAUAC